AGCAUGGUGUCAAGCAAGAGUAAAAACACUCACCUGCCUUGGGAAGCGGAUUCCUGUACUGGACUGACAGUAAACCUCCACCAGCUGCACGAUGGAGGAAAUCAUCCUGCAGCAUCCUGGGGUUGUACGCAGCUUUGGCAAGAGGGCAGCUGCUAAGUUGGCCUUCAAGCUGAAGAUCGAUAACAUUCACUGACAGGCUGAACUGUCAAACUGGACGACAGUGCACUUCCUUAAGUAAUCAAGAAGCAGCAGAAGGAAGAUUGUUCUGGAGUGGGUCUCGCAAAUGGCCACUCAUACGUCAUUCAGAACGGUGUAAAAUGGCCACCUGUGUGUAACUGCAGGCUCCUCCUUGCUGCUCAGUGGUUGCUGCAACCGCAUCAUGGGACCUGAUCUACAGCUGGCUGGAGGAAAAAGUAGUUCCCUGCUGUUUUCUGUUCCAGAAUGAAAGAAGUUACGGAAAAUCUUGGGAGUU